CUUAGAUACCGAAUUGUGAAUGUUUGAAGUGUUUUGGAAAGAAUCUUCACUGUCACUGGACUUUGUUUAUGGCUUAUCCUUUGCUUGUUAAUCUUUCUCCAAUACUGAUAAAUAGUAAUGUCUGUGUAAGCUAUACAAGGUAUCGCUUGUCAGGAGAAUGCAGGUAGUCUUGAGAUGGAAGCAUAGUUAUUGAAUUGGAUAGACUAGAAUGUCCUUUGAUAAAUGGAGCAGUAUCAACUUCAAAAAGCAAAUUUGAUGACAAAAUAGAGGCAUCUUCUGCCAAAAUGUAUUUUCACUACUAUGGGCAGCUAUUGCAUCAGCAGAAUAUGUUGCAGGAUUUUGUAAGGACAGGAACCUAUUAUUCUGCUGUAAUUGAGAACCGUGCUGAUUUUCUUGGUCGCGUAGUGGUUGAUGUUUGCGCUGGUAGUGGCAUUUUGUCAUUAUUUGCAGCCCAGGCUGGUGCAAAGCAUGUUUAUGCCAUAGAGGCUUCUGAAAUGGCCGACUAUGCAAGAAUAAACUUAUUGCUGGAAAUCCAUCACUGAAUGAAAGAAUUACAGUAAUCAAAGGAAAGGUUGAAGAUGUAGAGUUACCUGAAAAAGCUGAUAUUUUGAUCUCUGAGCCAAUGGAUGGUAGGUGAAAAGAGGGGUAAGGAAACAAAGAAGGCUAACGAGACAGCGGUUCCCUGGAGACCUCCAGAAAACCUUGCGAUUAGAAUGUUUGAAUGUUAAUGUUUGGUGAAUUUGUGGAUUUGCGAGGGUGAAGUAGUCUAAUGUUGUAGACUAACUUAGUGUAGACUAGUUUAAUGUUUACAAAUGUUGAAGUAGUUUAAUGUUGUUUUGAUGUUUGCGAAGGUUGAAGUAGCUUAAUUAACGUCUCUUGUGAAUGUUUGAUUAACGUUUUUAUUCAACUUUGAAGUAGUUUCGAAUUGAAUUUGAUGUUUUGGUGGUUGUAAUAUAUGUGUUGUAAUAGUAGCUUAUUGUUUUAUGUAUUUAUAGUAGUUUGGUGUAUUGUUGGCAGCUAUUUGGGCUCGUUUUAAUUGAAAGUAAAAUUAUUUUCAUCUUGACAGGGAGGCAGGUGGAGUAACAGCUAGGUGCUACAAUUUUUUUUGCAGAAUACCGACCUCAUGAGGUCGGUUAUGGGCAAAAUUUACCCAGAAACUGCUAAUUACCGACCUCAUGAGGUCGGUUUUUUGGAAAAUUUUCCCAGAAAUUGCAAAUUACCGACCUCAUGAGGUCAGUUUUCUGCAAAAUUAUCCAACAUAUG